rnacentral:rRNA from 1 species
AGGAUGAACGCUGGCGGUAUGCUUAACACAUGCAAGUCGAACGGAACCUUCGGGUUUAGUGGCGGACGGGUGAGUAACGCGUGAGAAUCUGCCUUCAGGACGGGGACAACAGUUGGAAACGGCUGCUAAAACCCGAUGUGCCUACGGGUGAAAUAUUUAUAGCCUGAAGAGGGGCUCGCGUCUGAUUAGCUAGUUGGUUAGGUAAUGGCUGACCAAGGCGACGAUCAGUAACUGGUCUGAGAGGAUGACCAGUCACACUGGGACUGAGACACGGCCCAGACUCCUACGGGAGGCAGCAGUGGGGAAUUUUCCGCAAUGGGCGCAAGCCUGACGGAGCAAUACCGCGUGAGGGAGGAAGGCUCUUGGGUCGUAAACCUCUUUUAUCAGGGAAGAACACAAUGACGGUACCUGAUGAAUCAGCAUCGGCUAACUCUGUGCCAGCAGCCGCGGUAAUACAGAGGAUGCAAGCGUUAUCCGGAAUUAUUGGGCGUAAAGCGUCCGCAGGUGGUUUUGGUAGUCUGCUGUCAAAGCGCGAGGCUCAACUUCGUAUCGGCGGUGGAAACUCCAAGACUAGAGUUUGGUAGGGGUCACGGGAAUUCCCAGUGUAGCGGUGAAAUGCGUAGAUAUUGGGAAGAACACCAGCGGCGAAAGCGCGUGACUGGGCCUGAACUGACACUCAUGGACGAAAGCUAGGGGAGCGAAAGGGAUUAGAUACCCCUGUAGUCCUAGCCGUAAACGAUGACAACUAGGUGUUGCCCGUAUCGACCCGGGCAGUGCCGUAGCCAACGCGUUAAGUUGUCCGCC